rnacentral:rRNA from 1 species
AUUGAACGCUGGCGGAAUGCUUUACACAUGCAAGUCGAGCGGCAGCGCGGGGCAACCUGGCGGCGAGCGGCGAACGGGUGAGUAAUGCAUCGGAACGUACCUUUUAGUGGGGGAUAACUGGCCGAAAGGACAGCUAAUACCGCAUACGCCCUGAGGGGGAAAGGGGGGGAUCGCAAGACCUCUCGCUAAAAGAGCGGCCGAUGUUCGAUUAGCUAGUUGGUGGGGUAAAGGCCUACCAAGGCGACGAUCGAUAGCUGGUCUGAGAGGACGACCAGCCACACUGGAACUGAGACACGGUCCAGACUCCUACGGGAGGCAGCAGUGGGGAAUUUUGGACAAUGGGGGCAACCCUGAUCCAGCCAUUCCGCGUGAGUGAAGAAGGCCUUCGGGUUGUAAAGCUCUUUCGGCAGGAACGAAACGGUAAUCCCUAAUACGGGUUGCUAAUGACGGUACCUGCAUAAGAAGCACCGGCUAACUACGUG